AUUACUGUGGCUUAUUUGUGCACCUCUGAAUCCAGGCAGCACGGACCAGAGACCUGCUUCUUUGGAUGAAGCUUAGUGGUGGCGUUGGAAGACAGGAGAUAUAUGCUUUGGGUUUGCGUCAUCCACUACGUCAGCAAAGAACAGGAUCGGGGAAUGACUACAUGGCCAACUGCAUCUCGUGGAAGUUGUUCUGAAGAUGCGAUGCGUGAAGGAAGGAAGUCCACAAGCAUGUGUGCUUCAGAACUCUUUGACCAACCCCCAACUGAGAGAGCUGAGCGAAGUGGCUAUCAGUAAGUCUAUUUGUGGGGACAGACUUACUCUGACAGAUGACAUCUUACAAACUAUUCUGUAGAUCUCAUAAUGAUCUUGCAAUAUGUAUUCUUUU